rnacentral:lncRNA from 1 species
GACUUUCUUAUUUUAACACUGAAACUUCUAUUUCUCAGAGGAAGCACAAAUCGUCUUAUAUUUUCUCAUCCUUAUCUUUUGUUCCUCAAACCCGGUUGCCGCCCUUCUCCUCCAAUACUGUUCAUUUGCGUUCUUAUUAAUUUUUUUUUCCGUUCUUCUAACCCUAGAACCAACCAGCGGAGGUACCUUGUCUUCUUUUCAUCCGGUAGACCGUUGGGACAGAAGGUAGUCACGAGCAGCAACAACAGCAGGCAAAUGGCGGCAAUAAGUGGCGUUGAGUGGAAGUGGGUGGCUCCGCUGCUCCCUUCCUUGCAUCCGUCUGUCAAGAAUGGUAAAUCCAGAUGAGGUUGAAAUUUCACGUGGUGGAAUUUUGGAAGUCAUCACCACUCUAUAUGCUAAAAUUUCACCGUUCUUUGAAAAAGAAACCCCUGAAGCGUCCGCGAAUAACCAUGAAGACCAACAAGUCGUCGGUUUCUUCCAAUUUUGUUGUCUUUGGAGUUUAGUUAUUUGCUUUGAAAUUGGUUUAACAAAUUUGAAGAAAUUUGUUUUGGGUUAUCUUUAAUUAACUCUAUCUAUUGGAUUUCCAUCUGAAAUUGGUACUAAGAUUAAAUUGUUUGUUUGUAUUGAUUCUCAUGAUUUCAAUUUUUUUUUGGUUCUUCAAUGAUACAGAGGUUAGCUGAUAUGAAAAUGUUAGCAUAUAUUUUUUUUGGGUUAUCUUUAAUUAGGUGUGUCAAUUGGAUUUCCAUAUGAAAUUGGUACUAAGAUUAAAUUGUUUAUUUGUAUUGAUUCUCAUGAUUUCAAUUUUUUUUUUUGUUCUUCAAGGAUACAGGAUACAGAGGUUAGCUGAUAUGAAAAGGUUAGCAUAUAUGAAUCAAACGGUAAAACUUGCAAAAAUUGGAUUGUUUAUUUCUCUUUUAAAUAAUUUGCAAAAAUAGCUCAUUGUUAUACUGUGGAGUCCAUUCAGAUCAUUGUCUGUUGAAUUGGAGGCUUUUAUACUUAUAAAGCUUUUCGUCUCAAAUAGAAUUCGCUAUUUAGAAAAUGUAGCAGCAAAACAGCUCCAGUGAGAUUUUUUUUUUAGUUUUUUCGGAUAAGAAAGUAAAAAUAAAAUUCCAUUGUAUCAUUUCAUCAAACACUUGGCUUUUAAUUUUUUUUAUAGCAGCCUAACAAUGGGAAGAAAGAUUACAAGUUUGGGUUUAGGUUCAUUGUACAUUCUUAUAAUUAUAUAUUAAAAAUGAUUUUUAAUUUUUUUUAUUGAUUUAUUUAUGUAUUUUAGAUGCUUAAUUAUUUGUCGAUUUCUAUGGAUGAUGAUACUUCGUAGGCUUUAAUACUGGCUGCACUCUCUGAUUCGGUGACCUUCCUACUUCAUUUGUAUUUUCUUUAACUGAUCUUUUUUUUUUUUUUUUUAAAUUAUGGAGUGUUUAUUUAAAACACGUAACGAUGGUGAAUAUAUAAUUGCAGGAACAAUAAUUAUUUUAUCAUAUUUUGGUUUUUAUUUAUUCUGCAAAAGAAUUGUUUAUUUUCUGGAAAUUUUUAUAAGUUUGCUCUUAAAUAUGUCAAAAGUUAGAUAAGAUCUUAAAACACGCUCUUUUUUGUUUGAAAUUCUUGCAGGUGUUGUAGAUGUGAAAAAUUACUGAUUUACCCUUUUCACAUCUGGAUAUGAACCCCUGGAUGUUGGGACAAGACUUCAUGCUAUAGAAGGAUCAUCUUGCUAAGAAAUCAAGGAUGAGAUUUCUCUCUUUCGCGACAUGAUUUUUUGCUUCUCAAGUUAAAACAUCUUUGAAAAAAAAAUAUAAUUGUUUGUGCUUAUCUCUUUUGAUUCUCAAGUUUUUGUUUUCCUAAACGAAUCCGGUGUUAGAGCUUAAAAUAAGGAAAAAAAAAUGAACACAGCGCCAACGGCGCGCAUGAUUCCCCUCUAGUUUAUAUGUAAAGACUAAAAACAAUUAUUUUCAAUAGAUAAAUUAAAUAUCCUCCUACUUUUGUUCUUACAAAUCCUCAUACCCAAUUAAAUGAUGACAUGUGUUAUUUUAAUAUACAAAAAUAUCAUUAAAUGAACAUUAAAUAUGACACAUGUCAUCAUUUAAUUGGGUAGGAAGAUUUGUUGAAACAAAAGGUAAGAGGAUAUUUAAUUUCUAUCCUCCUACUUUUGUUCGUACAAAUCCUCUUAUCCAAUUAAAUGAUGACAUGUGUUAUUUUAAUAUACAAAAAUAUCAUUAAAUGAACAUUAAAUAUUAAAUAUGACACAUGUCAAAAUGAACAUUAAACAUUAAAUAUUAAAUAUAACACAUGUCAUCAUUUAAUUGAGUAGGAAGAUUUGUAAGAACAAAAAGUAGAAGGAUAUUUAAUUUCUCAAAAAUUAAUGGUUACUUACUUUACUUUGUUUGUUAAAUAUUCAAUCAAACAUUAAUCCCAUUAAAUUGAUCGGGAAAUCAACUUAUGAUCGACCUCAAUUUCCAAAUUAAAUCUCUCAAAAAAGGAAAAUGAGAUAGAAAUGAAAGCAAUAAAUACAAGUGGUUAAUACUUCUUGACUACUCGACCGUUUAAUACAUUUAAAACAAACAAUACAAAAUUUAAUUAUUUUAUUAUUAAAAUAACACAUGUCAUCGUUUAAUUGGGUAGAACGAUUUGUAGGAACAAAAAUAGGAGGAUAUUUAAUUUCUCUUAAUUUUUUUAAUUAGAAAAUUUUAAAAGUAAAAGCUUUUCUAAUUAAUUUGUUUUCUUUUGCUUUUAUUAAAUAGAUUUAUGUAAAUUUGAAAAUCUAAAAUCGAAAGCACUUUUUAACAUUUAUAUUUAUAUUUUUUCUGUUUUAGUAAGUCUAUUCUAAUAAAUAAAUAUCUUUUUUGUCACGUGUCAUAUUUUCAUUUAUUUUUCUAUAUGUAAUUUUAUGGUUAUUUUAAAUUAAUUUUUUCCACAUAAUAUUUUAUUGUUUUUUUGUAUUUUAUUAAAUUUCACAUAAUAUUAAUAAGCAAUAAUUAUAAUAAAUAUCAUAAUAAAUUGAUAUCAAGUUCAUUAUGCAGACUUUAUUAAUUUUAAAAUUCUUAAAUUAGCUUAAUGACAUAAUUUAUUAUUCCCUCCGUCUCAUAUUAAUUGUUCAUGUUUUCUUUUUAGCUUUCUUAAAAUAAUAGCAUAUUUCUAAAAAUAAAUAUCUCUUUUACUAAAAUCUCCCUUUAAACUACCAUCGAAUUAAAUGCAACAAAAUAGUACAACUGUCAUUUCAUUUAAUAAAGUUAAUGAUAGUUAAUGUAUCCUUAAUUUGUAUCUUUUUUGUCUGUGGACAACAAUUUUGGGAUGAAAUGAGUAUAAAUUAUUAAUUAGUACCUAUCAUAUGACUUGGUAAAAUUCAAUUUUGACUGAUUUUAUGCUAUGUACAAACAAGUUCAUGAACAAUUAGUUUAUUGGUUUUUCUACAGAAAAUAACCAUAAGAGAGAAAGAAAAGGAGGUGUAACUCCUAGAGUAAGAAGAGUUGGACCCAUGAGAUGAUGUAGACACGUGUCUGUUAUGUAACAAUUCAUUUGUGAGGAACUGUUUGAAAAAAGAAGAGAACUGAACCUUAUAUGUAAUAAGGUACAAUUAAAUAAAGAUUAUGAAAGUGCAGAAAAGGAUGAGAAGUUAGUGGACUCAUGAUAAGAGUCUAAGGUCGGGUAUAAAGUCGCAGUAGAGAAUGUGAUGACCAAGUGUCAUAUAGAUGUGAGAAGUUAGUAACAGUGGAAGUAUGUGACUCCCCGAUGUAAAAGAUAAGUAUGCUUGGUAAGAUACAUCUUUUGAUGUAUGAAGCAUAGAUUUUGUAAGUAGAAGGGUGGAAGUAAAAGAAGUUGGCUGGUGAGCGGCUAAGAGUUAAAGAAAUUCAAAAUUACUAAUUUUACUACAUGAAAAUUAUGAGAAAAGGGAUAGAAAAAACUUAUGGAUUAAGGAAUGGAAUGGUGAGAUUGAAAAUAUAUAAGUAUAGUGUGUAUGUAGUGUAUGGGAAUUGUACACAUGUUGCACUUGUUAUGAUUCAAUGGAAUCAUAAAGUUAUCCGAGGAUCGAGUGGUUUGGGAUGAGAAAGGCUAACAUGGUAUUUGGAAGAAUUUGCCAUGUUUAGAAACUAGGAGACUUGAAGAGAGAAGAGAGGGAUGAUAGAAUUUUUGGCUAUCUCUUAUGAAAUAGGAGUGGAUGUGUCACACCCCGAAUCAGACGACAGAAACGUCAGAGGGCUAGUGUGACUAUCAAUUGAAAUAUCAUCACAAUGAAUAUACAUGAACAACACAUACGUCACCAACAUUACAUAGUACAACUGUCAUUGUUCACAUCAAGUACAUUGUUUAAAUAUUACAAAUCCAUAGCAUAAAUUGUUUGAGAGUCACAAAACAUAACAUCCUAACACACUUGGUAACUUUCUUCAGCUUAUCUGUUACCUGAGAAUACAAGUUGUUUUGAAAACGUCAACAUAUAUAAUGUUGGUGAGCUCAUAAGCAUGUUUGACAUAAAAUGGUUUGUAUUGUUUGUAAAACCUAGAAAAUCCGAUAUUUUUUGUAACAAAAGUUGUUUAUGAAAAAGAAGUGAUGAUCCCAUAAGUAUAUAUGUAUGUGAUUUCAAAACAUGUAAAAAUGAAUGACUUUCAUAAUUGUUCAUUGUAUUGUAGUUGUUGUAUGUAGAAGUGAAUAAUUUCGUUCCCCGGAAAACCCGAUGUUUUCCAAUUAAAAUAGUAUGGUAGUUUUGUAUUAUUGUAUAAAUCACUUUGCCUCGUCACAGUGUAUGAAUAUGAUUUCCCAUGAAUGAUGAUAUGGUAAUGGAUCUCUAUGUGAGUCGUUAUAACCAUGCAUAAUAAUGACUAUUUCGCCUGUCUUGGCAUUUUUACAAACGCCGGUUUUGAAUUAAGAUUUUGUCACCCUAGACCGGCCGAGUCUAACUAUAGCGAACAACUCAGGUGUGGGGGAGUCACCCCCGUAUAGAUCUAUACACAAACUCUACCCUCCCUCUAGGGGAAUCUGGUUAUAACUACAGGCUACAACCGACACUUAUUGGUGCCAACCGAUAAUUCUCACUAAAUCCCUAUUAUUACCCCAUGAAUUUGAAUAGCAUUGAUUACAACCCGUUUGAUGUUUACAUGAAUAUGAAUAAAGCCUAACAAACACGAAAAAGGACAACUAUGGAUCACUAAUCAUGUAUGUUGUUACAGACUGACGAGUAUGCGACGGACACGUUAGCCCGUUAAGCAUAUAAUUGAUUUGGACCAUACUAGCAAUGCCAAUGGGCCACUAAGGCCCAAUACCAUUUAAAGCCAUUAAGGGUCCAUUAGACAUGUAAUUGGGCCAUCAGAAGCACAAUAAACAUGUAUCGUUUAUGUUGGGCCCUAUAGUCAUGUUAAUGGGUCACGAAGGCCCAAUAAGCAUGAUUAGAAGUAUUAAAGCCCAACCGAUAUAAUGUUUACUUGUUUUUUAUAGUAUUAAUGUCGUAAGGUUUGUUUCACACGAAUUGUUUAAAUAAAAAAGUCACCACAUUCGCCAAAUUGUUUUAUAACGAUAUUUAGAUUUAUAAAAAAAAAUAUAAAUAUUUUUCUAUUUAAAUCCAUAAUUUAUUAAAAUUAUGUAUUUUUGACCCAAUUAUUUUAAUAUUAACAUAAUUGACCCAGAAAUAAUUUUUGACCAAUUCAGCCCCUUUUCUAGUAAAAAGGACAAAUUUUUACCCCUUUUUAUGAAAAAUGACAUUUUAGGUCCUUAGAUUAUGUUUCUUGACAUUUUCGGCCCAAACACUCAUUUAAAUCAUGUUUUCAGCCCAAAAUCAGGUUUUGGACAGUUUCAGCUUUUUAAUUAAAAAGAUUUACACUUGUAGUCCAAAUUUUCGCAAUUUUUACAAUUUUAGCCCAAAAUCCAAAAACUUUGCAUUUUUAGUUCUACUUGGUAAGAAAGGCAUUUUCAGCCCCUGAAAUUUGUUUUUUAUGUUUUUAACUCAUAUUUUGAUAAACUUGCAAUUUCAGUCCCUUAAGUUUCAUAUUUUUCGCAAAUUGGGCCUAAAAGCCGAAAAGCCCAAACUUUAGCCCAUUAGGCUACAAUUUACACUUUUAGGCCUUUAAAAACCGUGAUUUUCAUAAUAAUUCAUAUUUUAAGUGAUUUGACCCUUUUGACCCUUAUAAAAACCGUAAAUGAUAUCAUUUCUUCCAUUUUUUGCUUAUUUGUCAAAAAUGGUUCAUAAAUAGAAUUUAUGUUUUGUUUUACUUAGUUUGAACUUGUAUAAUACUUUUGCCUUGAUAAUAAUAUGUAUAAGAUAUCUUAGGUCACAUAUUUCCUUAUCAAGGUUAAGAAUCUCAAAUAGAUCAAGUUUCUAACAUAUAUUCAUCAAAUAAAUUUAAGAAAUCACACAUAUCAUACAAAAACACAUGGAUCUACACAUUUUACUUGUAUUCUCCCCCAUAAAUCAUGUAAAAACCAAAAACAAGGGGUAUGAACUCACCUUUGCUUUGUUGUUUCGGUUUUGAAGAAGAAGUGGAAGGGUUUUUGGUCUUAGUACACCUUUGAUGUAGAUAUCGAGUUUAGGAAGAUUUCUAGGAGUAUAAACACCAAAAAAUUUGUUUAAACGAAUGAUCUAACAAGAGAGUGAAGUCAUGAAGCUUGGAUGUGUAAAGACUUACCAAAAGUGAUGAUUAUCUUGUAAAAAUCCUCUUGAGACACAAGCAAAACCUUGAGAGUUUUUGGAGGAAGAAGGAGGAUGAUUUAGAGAUGUUUGGAGAGAGUUUGGUGUAAUGUGUGUGUAUGUGUUUGGGGCUCUCGAUCAAGUAGAAGAAGAGAGGGAAGAGACAGGUGGUGAAAUGACUAACAUGGAUACAUGAAGGAUCUUGCAUGGAUACAUUGUGUAUAAAAUGGAGGUGGCAUCUCCAAGUCAACUCCCAUCCUCUAUUUCCAUUUCAUUUCUCAUUUUUUUUAUUUAUUGGAUGAUGGGCCGAGAUUUUGGGCCAAGAAGAAAGGAUAGAGUAGAUUUGGUCCAUUUACCUUAGCUAGGAUAUUUGGAUCCUAAAAAUAGAAUUUUUCGGCCCAUUGGGCCCUUGGAAGCAUUAACGGCCCAAAAAGAAUAAAAGAAUGGGUUUAUGGCCCAUUAGGGCUAAUUAGAUUUGUUAUGGCCCAAUAAGGCCCAUUGAAGGUAAGCUAAUCCAUUUUAAGCCCAUUAUGGCCGAAAAUGUUAAGUUUCAUGAAAAUGGGUCCAAUUAGAGCCCAUUUAAGAGUUCUAACCCAAAAUAGUCAAAAUGGAGGCUUAUUGGUCCAUUAGGCCCAAUAAGAAAAUCCUAGUCCAAAAUGGACUUAAACCGGGAUUUUUAGGGUUUCCAAUAUGAAGUUGACUAUUUGAAGUGUUUGCAUAGAGUGUUUGAUGGAAUUUUGUUGUCGUUAAAUAAACAUCAUGUAUGUUUUCAAGUUUUAGUCACAAAUGUCAUCAUUGUUAAUGUUUACAAAAACAUUAGAAUUCCUAGCUGUGACAGCCGAAAAUCCAAGGUCAAUGGUGCCUUUUAUAGUGCAACUUGGAAACCCUAUAUAACACUUAAAUGAAUAAAAUAAUAUUAAUUCAAAUUGGUAACUAGCCAGCUUCCUAUUUAUCUGCAAGGAAUAUUCCAGAUACCCUGGAAUACCCUAAAAUUGGCCACCCCUUCCAAGGAUGAUUCUGGAACCUCUCAUGUUCAACUAUUGAACAAUUCCACUUUAACCCUUGCACUUUUAAUUAAUCCACUUAAUCCCAAAAUUAACUCUAAUUAAUUUUUGAUUAAUUCUUAAUUAAAUAUUGCUAUUUCUAAUUAAUAUAUUAUUUUCAUAACAUAUUAAUAAAUUCAUUUAUUGCUAUUUAUUAAUCAUAUAAUAAAUCAAUAAAUCAGUCUCUCUUUUUUUUUCUCUCUCUCUCUCUAAAAUUCAUCAUAUCCAGUUACUAAGGUUGAGGGCAAUCCAAAAGGACUUUGCUAAUAAAUCAAGUAUAUAGUAAUUCAGUUAUUAGCUUAUACACCUAAUCCAACAAUAUCCCACUUGGAUAAGUCUAUAACUGUAAUUACCAGUAUAACUUCUAAAUUAGACAUCAAAGAGUGCUUCCAUAGCAACUGCCGAACUCUAAACUAAACAGAUAUUGGUCCUAAGAUAAGUGAUCAAAUAUUCCUCCGUUCUUAUAAAUAUCAUAUGGACAUGAGACAUUAACUAGAAUCAAUCUCAUUGUCCAAAAUUUUGUUUCCCGAUUUCCUGAUUUGUGAUUACGUCACAAGACUUCUAACUGAACACAUCAAUUAUGUCCUAGUUGGGCCCAACAAUAUAAGUCAACACCAAAUCACUGAGGGGACCAAAGAUAUUGCUUUUCCCGUUAGGGCAACAAGAACGAAUAAACUUUGACUUAUAUUCUUGUAUCAUUUACUCACAAAUCAUACAUGACACUAUGUUUUAUAACAUCAUGUUACUUAUGUGUUUUCACAACAACAAUGACCAACUAACUUGUAAAUUACAACUCAUAUAUCUUCGUUUUAAGAAUAUAAGAUAUUAUCGUCUCGCAGUUACUCAUGAUAUAAUCCAUGAAGUAAUUCUUUGAGCGUGAGNACCCAGAGCCGACAAGAAAAGUUAUGCAGACAGACGCCGGUCCAAACUUGAGUUUCAGGUCGGCGACUUCGUACUCCUGAAGGCCUCUCCUUGGAAAGGAGUGAUUCAAUUCGGGAAGAGGGGCAAGUUGGGGUCCCGGUAUAUUGGGCCUUUUCGUGUGGUUGCGAAAGUAGGCCGGGUNUUAAGAAUAUAAGAUAUUAUCGUCUCGCAGUUACUCAUGAUAUAAUCCAUGAAGUAAUUCUUUGAGCGUGAGUUUAUUCAACACUUAAAUCUCCAUUUCUAAGUACGCAUGAAUGUUGUAGAAAUACAAUUGCUAUGUAUAACCUCCUUAGACAAUCUACAAUCUAAUUCAUGUCAGUCUUCAUUCACCACUUACUUCCCAAAGUAUGAGCAAAUGUUUAGCUUCGAAUAAUCAAAUUAUUCAAGAACUAAAACAUGCAAAGUGAAACACAAUGAUAAACUAAUUAACUACGGUCUCAAAACUACUAAAUAUAAAUAAUCUCUAUUAUUUAAUCACCAUAAUUAUUACAACUUUAUUCAUUACAAAAUGUUUCAAGUAAUCAACUAACUACUUGAAUCAAACAUCAGUCAUGCCAUGUUAUGAACAUACAUACUAUGUCUCUUUAUGGUCCUUUUUUGUGAACAGAUCAACUAGAGAUUAUUCUAAUGAUGCUCAUUUCACAAUUUCAAAUUCUUGUCACUAUCUAAAAUGUAUUGGAAUUCCAACUUUACUUGCACCGACCUUCUGUGAUGUCGAGGCUUCUAAGUCACAGAGAUUGAGCCAACAAUAUUAUAGAAUGUUCCAUUGGAAUGUAACAGCCCGGAAUUCCAGAUAUUGGAAUGUAAGAGGGGACUCGGCGAGUUGGAGCUCAGACUCGCCGAGUAGGAUCGCAGAUCUGGUCACGGGUUCGCGACUGGACUCGACGAGUCCGGAUAUGGACUCGGCGAGUCUGUGCUGUUUAGCGAAAACCCUAACCGUUCAGGUUUGGGACGUAUAAAAGAGACUUAUUGGCCGUCAUUGUUCAUUUUAGCCUUCUGAGAGGAACCCUAAAUCGAUUGUGUGCUUCUGGGGCAAGGUUAAAGGCCAUUGGUGAUUUUGAAGGAGUUGUUGUGCAAGGAAGAGAAGGGCUUGGCUAAGGGGACAACAAGCGAGCCACGUUCUGAGGAUUGGGGACACAGAGAGUACAUCAUCCAGGUAAGAAUUCGAGUAUACUCUGCUAUGUUGAUGUGUAUAUGGAUUUAGGGUUUAUGGAACCCUUUUGUGACUAGAUUGAAUGUUACCCUAGUUCCCCAAACAAUUGGAACCCUGUAUUGGGACCUUGGAGGUCCAGAAUGUCCCAUGCCUGAGCAUUUCGGGAAUUGAUGGAGGUUUUGGAUUGGAAUCCUUAUGCCUUAGGUCAAAAUGUAAAUUAUUAGUCAUGGGGUGUAUCAUGAGCACCGAAAUGAGGACCUUACGUGAUGGAUCAGUCUAGGAAGGCCAGACCUAUGAAUGGUCGGAGCAGUUCUGACCUUAGAAAGCAGUUUGAGCGGUUGCAUGGCAUGGACUCGCCGAGUCCGAUGAACAGACUCGGCGAGUAGCUUGAAGAUUAACUGGAACUCGUCGAGUUGUUCUUCAGACUCGGCGAGUUGAGUCGGGGUGGCCCCGCGAUUCUUCCAGGAGUAACUCGUCGAGUCAAAAAGGGGAUACUCGACGUGUAGAAAGGGAAUCUUAAGGAAUCGGUGAGUUAAGGGCGAGUGGACUCAGAGUGGUUGAACUCGGCGAGUCUUGGGGUGACUCGGCGAGUUAGGUCGCGGGUUGAGUGAAGUUCUGAGUAUGGGGACUCGGCGAGUCAUAGGGUUGACUCGGCGAGUAGGGUCAGUCAGGGGUUGACUUUGACCUUGUCUUUGACCAAGGAUUGACCAGUGGUUCCAGGGGUAUUUUGGUAAUUGUUGUUUAUUGUUUGAGUUCAGUGCAUUGGUGACUGUCCAGAGGUGGAGAUCGUAUCAGUGAUCGGAGCAGCUUGAGCUAUCUGUUCAGUCGGCAGUUUCGAGGUGAGUUAUCCUCACUAUAUCGCUAGGGUUUAUGGCACCAAGGCCGACCCUUUUAUCGGAUGGAAAUCCGGGUAGUUGGCAUUACAUGUUAUGGGCCGGAAGGCAUUGCUAUGUGGACCGGAAGGUCAUGGCCUGGAAAGGCGUAUGUAUGCAUUUAGUAUGUUGACUGAUUCGUAGGGUAAUGUUAUGCUAGUGACCGGCUAGAUCGGUAUCUUGUUUAGAGUAAUGCUAUGAUAUGUGAUCUGUUGAUCGAUUGUUGUCUUUGAACUGCUAUAUGAUUAUUUGUUCUGUUAUAUAUGCAUUUUAUGCUUAUGGGCCGGAAGGCAAUAUGUUAUGGGCCGGAAGGCAAUAUGUUAUGGGCCGGAAGGCGAUUAUGUUGUGUGAUGGACCGGAAGGUCGGCGUGGGUAGGACCGGAAGGUUUACCCAGCAGGGACGGAAGUCCCCUGAGACACAUGGACCGGAAGGUCAGGGCUUGGAAAGGCGUAUAUGUGGUUGGUAUUUUGGGGGUAUCUCACUAAGCUUUCGGGCUUAUAGAUGUGGUUUUAUGUUUCAGGUUCUCAAGAGUCUGUGGCAAGGCAAAGGCGUGAUCGUACCGUUCCUCGCGUUGGUGUUUUAUGAUAUGAACCUGGGAAAUUACUCUGUUUAAUAAUGUGUUGAAAACCUUUUUGUAACAAUGUUAAUAAAAUGGGUGAUUUUGAAAAGUUUUAAUUGUUUCGAAAUUUUGGAUGUUACAUGGAACUUUGUUACUAGAAACAAUGCCAUGGUAAUAAAGUUUCAAAUUCAAGGUACACUACUUGAACACUUCUCUUGCAUCAAAGUUUCCAACUCACAUGUAGAUUUAAUAAUCAACUAUCAUUAUGUAAAAAUUUCCGCAUUCCCAUACGACCAUUAGUUUUGACCAGGAAUCAUCUCAAUCUAAAACAUGUCACUAUGGUCCUCCCAAACAAUACCAUAGUUCCAACUGUCCACAAGCAACUAGUCUUCAGUAUACCUCAAAAUGUUCUUAAUAGUUGCUUAACAACUCUGGUAACACAAAAAUUCUAAUCCUUUUUUCUCUCAAUGCUAAAGUCAUUUGACAAAAAAAAUAAAUAAAUAAGUGAGCAUAUGUAAUUGAUUAUAUAUCUGAAGCAUAUGUGACUCGAUUCAUUAUGUCUCAUAUAAGGAUUUCAUAUAUGUUCAAUCUCUUGCUAUAAUCUUCCUAUAUAUUUAAUCUCCUACGUUGAACUGUAACAUCCUAUUCCGAAUUGAUUCCUAGUCUGAGGUUGUGGUCCGAAGAUCGGUCAUCAUAAGGAUUAUGGAUUUUCAAAAAAGAAAAAUCUAGGAUCAUUUGGGUGUGGGUGAUGUAUUAGAAGUGAUCUAGGUGUUUGGUUCGUAUUUUGGAGCGUAGGGGUACUUCGGUAAAGUGUCAGUUUGGGCUUUUGUGGAAAAUGGAUUCUUGUUCGAAAGGUAUUAAGAAAGAUUGGAGUUGUUAGAAGUGUAGGGCUUCUCGUUGCCUUUCCGUUGAUAUAAGGAUCAUCGGAAUUGGGCUUCUAACAAAGAAGUUAUGGUCUUUGGAAGUUUUAUGGGUUUCAGGCUUAGCCGAGUACGCAGGGCGUACACAAAGUGUACACGAGGCGUACUAGUGAAAUAGGAAGUACGUUGGGCGUACUUACUAGGAUGGUCGUGAUUGUUCUUCGGAGUACGCUGGGCGUACCAAAAUUACGUUGGGCGUACGCCAGUCAGAUCAGAACCCUAUUUUUGGGUCUUGGAUCCUAUUUGAGCUCCUUAUCUCAUAACCUAACCCUAAUGUCUUCAGCCUCCACCCUCUAAAACCCUAGAAAUCGUCAUAUAUCAUUCAUGGUGACAUUUUGAUCUUAUGGAGUCCAUUUUUGGCAUAUUUUGCCCAUUUUCAAGAAAAUGGAACUUGUUGCAAAGAUGGGAAUCAAGGAGGAGCUUAUGGAUCUGGCUUUUAGGACUCAUUCUCAGCUUGAUGAAGUGACAGCUCGGGAAGCUGGAGGGGCAACAACUAAGGAUGUCAUUCAGGAAACUUCUGCAUUCGAGGUGAGUUUCCUCACCAUACCAAUGGAUCUAAGGCACCAAGGCCGGCCCAUUUCAUGAUAUGUAGUGUCCUAGCCGUAACAUUACUAUUUGGUAUGAUAAUUGGUAUGAGCUAGGAGGUAUGCUUGUAUUGUAUGUGUUAUGUGGUAUCGAAGCCCAUGGGAGAGCCCAUGGAUUUCCUACCGAAGACCAUGGGGGAGCCCAUGACACUUGGAUGUAAGACCAUGUGGAGAGCCCAUGUAUUUCCUAUCAAAGACCAUGGGAGAGCCCAUGGCACUUUGGUGUAAGACCAUGUGGGGAGCCAAUGGCAUCUUGGAGUAAGACCUUGGGGACGAGCCUACGACAUCCCUAUAUGUUGUAUGCAUGGCUUAUAUGGUUUAUGUAGCUUUUAUAGCUAAUAUGGAUUAUGUGAUUAUGUGGACUGUGUGUGGGGUAUGCUCUGGGGAAUUUACUAAUCUUCGUGCUUAUAAUUUUGUUUAUUGUUUCAGGUAUCAUCAGUUUGGAAAGAAAGGGGCCCGACGUGAUCGCAACACACACACCCAUGUUUUCCGCAAUGAAUGAUUUUGGCAUGAACUCUGAUAAAUGUUUUAACUAACGAUGUUUUGGAAUGUUUGGAAUAAAUGUUAUGUAUGUUUUGGAUAUAUUAAAAAUGAAUUUUUUACCCUUGAUUUUUGGGUCGUUACAAGUUGGUAUUAGAGCCUUGGUUUUAGAGAUUCAAACAUAUUUUCGGGUGUGUCUGAACUCAAAUUGAGGAUCUGUAAAGUUUUUAAAGAAAAAAUGUUUUCAAGGAAAAGUUUUCUAAGAAAAGAAAGGGUGUGGUGCAUGCAAUCAGAUGAGCUCAAGUAAGUUUCCCAAAAUACCAAUAUAUGUUAUCUGUUAUGACUUGAUGUAUGGAUCUGUGAAUCGCCUGCUAGUUAGGGUUAGGAGAGAUGCCAUUAUAUGUUGUAUGAGCUGGUAGACUUGCAUGCUAGCGAUGUGUAGUUAGCAAGACAUUGGCCAGAUAUGUGAUGCUUGUAGCCUUGGAGAUAUUGAAUGCCAUGCUAGAAUGAUAAUUAUUAUUGGUACUAGUAACUGCUACGUGUAUGCUUUUAAAAUUAUAUACGGUUAGGAUCUUAUAGGCUUUGAAUGAUUGACUUGGCCUUAUUUCGUGUUCCUUGUCUGGUUGUGGUCCUAGGGUAGGGUCUAUUAUUCGAUAGUCUAUUAGAUCUUGUUCUGUGUAUAAUUUGCAUGCAUAAGGCAGCCGACAGUGAGGGUGGAUGUGGGCAUCAUGGAUUGUGGUAUGUGGGUCGAAUGUUCUAUGAUAGUUUGUAGGUCGGAGAUUUCCCUAGGAUGAGCCUAGGAUGAGAUUAGUGACAGGAGUUGCCUGAUUGUGAAUUGUAUGUAUAGAUAGAAUUGUUUGAUUGGAAUAUGUUGGUUAGUUUUCUGUUGUUUGAAUGUUGCUUGCUUUGUGCUUUAUGGGACUUCUAGCAAUGUGAGCUAGCUACUAAGUGAAUAUGCUAGGUCACAUGUGGCACAUGCUCGAUAAUCUCAUAGUGAUGGAUUUGGCCCUAUUGCGCAUCUCUUGUUUGAAUCUAACCGUUCUAGGAUUGAGUCUGUUACUCGAAGGAUUAUCUGAUCUCUGUUACAUGUGGCUAUAUUCAUAAGGUAGCUAGUUGACAUUACUGGGAAUCUUUCAGCAGCUGAGGACUUGGUGGGUUAGGAACCUAGGGAGAGCCUAGGAGGUGCUUCGGUAUAUAUUGUGUUGCUGUUUAGCGGAUAUUUGGUGCAUCAGUGGAGUAGGUGACUUAGAGGAUUCGGGAGGAUUGCAGAGGAAAGUAUGAAUAGGUGUGAAAGGUAGUAUUGGACCCGUACUACUGAAAGCACAGGAUCCAUACUCGAAUUAGUGAGAAUCUUGGAGAAUCUAAUAAGCUUAUGGGAAGGAGAAUUCUUGGUUAUGCUUCGACCAUGGGAAUAGCUGCUAUGUAGAAUGAGGAUGCGCACGUAGGGGGAAGACCAGGAUUGGACCCUGCUCCGGUGGUGAGCCAGUUAGUUGAAGGACUGGGAUUUUGAGUUCGCCUUGGAUCUCUUGUAUCAGGCAGCAAGGAUUGAUUGUGCGAUCUAUUGAACUUUGGGGAUUAGAGACUAUGUCUUUGGGGUAGUUUGUAGCUCGAUUUAGGGCAGAUAUUGUUUCAGCUACUGCAGUUCAGCCAUGGACGACUGAGCUGGUGAGUGUGCCAGGGUGCGAGACCCUGAAUGAUAUGAUUUCUAGAUCUCGAGAGCAGGGACUGAUUUGGAGCACAUUUUGAAGAGGGGACCAUAUGAGGUGUAUAUAUUUAAGGGUCCCGGAAGAGACCCAAGAUUUUGAAUCAACUUUCGAGAGGCCGACAGGGCCGGAUACAGUGCAGUACAAGCGGGAAAUCGUACGAUGGAGUUACCUCUCCAGGUCUAUGGGAUGCUACAAGCGUAGCCGGCUUUAUCGCAUCAGCAGGUGAAAUUAUGAGUGGGUACUCGAUUUAGGGUGUGUCGGAUCCGAUGGAUCGGCGGUGAGGUUUUGCACCGUUGGGAUGAGGCAAGAGAGUUGUGAGAAUGUGGGGUAGCCCGUAGCAUUUGCUUAUCCUUAGGCAGCGGUAAGAUGGUGGUAAAUUUGUAUUUUCCUUCAGAAUUAUUUGGUGGAAGGCAGCCUUAAAGAGGGUGAUUAGAUCAUCCAAUUGGUUAAGAAUACAAGAGUAUUCUUCAGGAUUUCCAAAGCUGAGUGGUCAUUGUGUUGGGGAAACUAUGGGGCGCUUGUGUUUUCGGCACAUGAUUUGGGCGGGUCAUGCUUAUUGAUGAAAAUGGAUCGAAGAUCUAGGGCUGCAAACGAGCCGAGNNNNNNNNNNNNNNNNNNNNNNNNNNNNNNNNNNNNNNNNNNNNNNNNNNNNNNNNNNNNNNNNNNNNNNNNNNNNNNNNNNNNNNNNNNNNNNNNNNNNNNNNNNNNNNNNNNNNNNNNNNNNNNNNNNNNNNNNNNNNNNNNNNNNNNNNNNNNNNNNNNNNNNNNNNNNNNNNNNNNNNNNNNNNNNNNNNNNNNNNNNNNNNNNNNNNNNNNNNNNNNNNNNNNNNNNNNNNNNNNNNNNNNNNNNNNNNNNNNNNNNNNNNNNNNNNNNNNNNNNNNNNNNNGCUCGUUUAAUAAACAAGCCUAAUAUUAAACUCGAGCUCGGCUCGGGCUCAUUCAAAAUCGAUCUUGAGUCGAGCUUUUAACGAUUCGAUCUCGAGUAGCUUGGCUUGUUUGCACCCCUACGAAGAUCCGUAUGGAAUAAGAGGUGAAAGAGCAUCUUCGAGUCCAAGUAAGGGAGAAUCAAGUGGCUGUUUAGGCUUAGGUUGUGAUGAUGGGAGUUCAGGAUACUCCCAAUCGCCGGUUGACAUCACCUUGAUUACGCAUAGUGAGCAGUGGGAAUCCAUAGGUGCGACCCGAACUCCUAAUGGGAUACAGGAUUCGACUCGAGAGGUGUGACGAUGUGAUAGUGGAGUGUGGAAGGUCCAUGAGUGGUAAGCAUGAUUGGAGGGAAGUAGUGCUAGGAUGUGAUAGGUUCAUAGCAUUCAUUGGUCCGAAUCAGACUAUUUAUGUGAUGGUCAUAGGUACGAAAGGAAAGUAGCAUGUGCUUUGGGCACGCCGGUCAGGGUCGUUAGGGAAUUAUUCUUUAUUUUGGGAUUGAGGAUCUUCGGUGUCCGUGGGCGAGCUUGGGUGAUUAUGGAAAUUCGGGAUAGAACCAGUAGACACUGUGGGGUCAAGGGUUUGGAUCAUGAGUUGCAGUGGAUGAGUAGUGUGUGUCCAAGUAGGGCUACGAUAGGGUAGCCUCGAUAUUUGAUCUCUUGGGAACCUAGUGGUUGGACCAGAUUCGAGACUGUUAGUCUCGGGGAUUGGCUUAAGGGUAGUUAUUUAUCGGUCAAGUAAGGGACGUUGGGAAGUUGUGGUGCAUUAUGCAAAUGUAGAUUCAGGGAUCUUGGGGUAGGAGCAGAGUAUCGAUUUGGUUUUGGCUAAAGAUCUCGAAUCAGAGUUUGUGCGUGUCCAGUGUGAGUUUUUCAUCCCAGUAGAAUAAGGAUUAAGAUAUUUAUGCGUUGAGGGCAUCAAUCGCAGGGUUCGAGAGUAAUGAAUGGGUUGGUUUGAUGGUAGUAUAAGCUGUUGUGAUGUGUCUUGGGUGGCUCUAUCCGUAAUAGAUCCACGACAUGUUUGAAUCAAGAAACAGAUCUAUCAAAGGAAACCGAGUAUGAUGUAAGGCUACAGUUGUCCUGGUUGCAUUCACCUUCUUGCGUCAGAUUCAGUGGCGACAGGUUGUCAACCUAUCAUGAUCGGAUGGAUCACAUGGAUUGAAGGAGCCAAGAGCGGCGGUAUGGAUAUGGCAGUUAUUGUUAGACGGUGUACCCUUCAGAGGUCGCAUGGGACUGCUGCGUGUGUUUUUGGCUCAACAAUCGGGUAAGUGUCCUAUGUUUCGGACAGUUAGCAGACAAGUUAGGACCAGGGAGGUCCCAUAUUUUUUUUUCCAGGAAAGCAGCUAUGUGACAGCAAGAGGGGUUGGAGCGACUUCAGUAAUUUGGGGUCUAUGUGUGGAAUUGCUUGUUUUCGGUAGCCGCAGUUGACCAGUGAUUUUGUUCUUUUGGAAGCCUCAAGGUAUUACUGGUGAAAAGUAUUAUGUUUAGGCUGGUUUUCUUAUGCAAUAAAUUCAAUGAUGGUUCGUGCGGGUGGUUGUCGGGAAGCUAGGUCAAUUUGAAGUUUCGAGUUUCGGAAGGAUAGAGGUGGAUUUAUUCUAGAAGGUUUCAAGAUUCGUUCCUUUUCGGGUUGGUAAGUCCUUUUAGGGUUGGUAUCAGGUUGCAUUGGGAUAUAUUUAGUUAUUCCAAAUUGUGGAGGUAUGGACCAGAUUGUUGGAUGUGCUGGGAAGGUAAGGAUGGAUUUUGAGGAAGAAAUCUAAUUCAAGUAGGGGAGAAUUGUAACAUCCUGUUCUGAAUUGAUUCCUAGUCUGAGGCUGUGGUUCAAAGAUCGGUCAUCAUAAGGAUUAUGGCUUUUCAAAAAGGUAAGAUCUAGGAUCAUUUGGGUGCAGGUGAUGUAUUAGAAGUGAUCCGGGUGUUCGAUUCGUAUUUUGGAGCGUAGGGGUAUUUCGGUAAAGUGUCAGUUCGGGAUUUUGUGGAAAGUGGAUUCUUGUUCGGAAGGUCUUAAGAAAUAUUUGAGUUAUUAGAAGUGUAGGGCUUCUCGUUACCUUUCCGUUGAUAUAAGGAUCGUCGAAGUCGGGCUUAUAACGAAGAAGUUAUGGUCUUCGGAAGUGUUGUGGGUUUCAGGAUUAGCCGAGUACGCGGGGUGUACACAAAGUGUACACAGGGCGUACUCGUGAAAAAGUAAGUACACUGGGUGUACUGACUAGGAUGGUCGCGAAUGUUCUUCGGAGUAUGUUGGGCGUACCAAAAUUACAUUUGGCGUACGCCAGUCGAAUCAGAACCCUAUUUUAGGUAUCAGGUUGCAUUGGGACGGAUUUAGUUAUUCCAAAUUGUGGAAGUAUGGACCAGAUUGUUGGAUGUGCUAGGAAGGUAAGAACGGAUUUCGAGGACGAAAUCUAAUUCAAGUGGGGGAGAGUUGUACCAUCUUGUUCGAUUUGUUCCCAUUUUGAAUUGGUGAUCAAAGGAUUAAGUUAUAUCAAGAUACGGAUACCUUGGGGGUUGAGUUUUGGACCGAGUCGGANAUGUUGGGCGUACCAAAAUUACAUUUGGCGUACGCCAGUCGAAUCAGAACCCUAUUUUAGGUAUCAGGUUGCAUUGGGACGGAUUUAGUUAUUCCAAAUUGUGGAAGUAUGGACCAGAUUGUUGGAUGUGCUAGGAAGGUAAGAACGGAUUUCGAGGACGAAAUCUAAUUCAAGUGGGGGAGAAUUGUAACAUCCUGUUCUGAAUUGAUUCCUAGUCUGAGGCUGUGGUCAGAAGAUCGGUCGUCAUAAGGAUUAUGGAUUUUCAAAAAGGUAAGAUCUAGGAUCAUUUGGGUGCAGGUGAUGUAUUAGAAGUGAUCCGGGUGUUCGGUUCGUAUUUUGGAGCGUAGGGGUAUUUCGGUAAAGUGUCAGUUUGGGAUUUUGUGAAAAAUGGAUUCUUGUUUGGAAGGUCUUAAGAAAGAUUUGAGUUUUUAGAAGUGUAGGGCUUCUCGUUACCUUUCCGUUGAUAUAAGGAUCGCCAAAAUCGGGCUUAUAACGAAGAAGUUAUGGUCUUCGGAAGUUUUAUGGGUUUUCGGCUUAGCCAAGUACGCGGGGUGUACACAAAGUGUACACGGGGAAUACUAGUGAAAAAGGAAGUACGAUGGGCGUACUGACUAGGAUGGUUGCGAAUGUUUUUCGGAGUACGCUGGGCGUACCAGAAUUACAUUAGGCAUACGCCAGUCGGAUCAGAACCCUAUUUUAGGGUCUUGGAACCUAUUUAAGCUCCUUAUCUCAUAACCUAACCCUAAUAUCUUCAGCCUCCACCCUCUAAAACCCUAGAAAUCGUCAUAUAUCAUUCAUGGUGAGAUUUUGAGCUUAUGGAGUCCAUUUUUGGGAUAUUUGGCCGAUUUUCAAGAAGAUGGAACUUGUUGCAAAGAUAGGAAUCAAGGAGGAGCUUAUAGAUCUGGAUUUUAGGACACAUUAUCAGCUUGAUGAAGUCACAGCUCGGGAAGCUGGAGGGGUAGUAGCUAAGGAUGUCAUUCGGGAAGCUUCUACAUUCAAGGUGAGUUUCCUCACCAUACAAAUGGUUCUAUGGCACCAAGGUCGGCCCAUUUCAUGAUAUGUAUUGUCCUAGCCGUAACGUUGCUAUUUGGUAUGAUAGUUGGUAUAAGCUAGGAGGUAUGUUUGUAUUAUAUGUGUUAUGUGGUAUUGAAGCCCACGGGAGACCCCAUGGCAUUUGGAUGUAAGACCAAGUGGAGAGCCCAUGGCUUUUCUACCGAAGACAAUGGGGGAGCCCAUGAUACUUGGAUGUAAGACCAUGUGGAGAGCCUAUGGCUUUCCUAUCAAUGACCUUGGGAGAGCCCAUGGCACUUAUAUGGUUUAUGUAGCUUUUAUAGCUGAUAUGGAUUAUGUGAUUAUGUGCAUUGUGUGUGGGGUAUGCUCUGGGGAACUCACUAAGCUUCGUGCUUACAGUUUUGUUUAUUGUUUCAGGUAUCAUCAGUUUGGAAAGAAAGGGGUCUGGCUUGAUCGCAAUGCACACACCCAUGUGUUCCGCAUUGAAUGAUUUUGGGAUGAACUCUGAUAAAUGUUUUAACUAACGAUGUUUUGGAAUGUUUGGAAUAAAUGUUAUCUAUUUUUUGGAUAUAUUAAAAAUUAAAUUUUUACCCUUGAUUUUUGGGUCGUUACAAGUACCAUUUCAACACGAUAUUCACAUACGUCUAUGACUAAGUUCCAUUAAACUAUAUGAUCUAAACCUUUAAAUUUGAAACAAAGUAUGAGUGCCCUCUCCCUUAAGUCUAUCAUAGUGAAACAAUUUCCAAACUUUGCAACUUGCAAAUUGAAAACUUUUGCUCCUUACAAACAAUAUCGUUAACUAGCAUAACAAUUAUGCUCCCACUAGCUUUGACAUGUACCCAAAAAUCAACCGGACUUCUAGAAAUCAAUACUCUUGACUUUCUUACUGAAGUGUAGAUUUCUGUUAUGCGAUGCUUCGAUAAGUCUCCAACUAGACUUCUUAAGUGUAUACACCUUCAUUAUAUAGCUUAUGUGGGUGUUUAAACCCUUAUAAAACUUAUAGAUAUAUGUGUUGAAAGUUCAAACAAUUCCUUGCCAUUCCUCUCUAUUUAAAAUAUGAAGAGGGAUGUCAUAAUCAUAUUGCGAAUUUGAGAAUGAAAGUAACACAACCAACAUCCAUACUGAUCUUUAUCAGAUCUUUUAAAAUCUACUAGCAAAAAUAUUUCCUCACAAUCAUUUUCAUGAAUUAGAGUGAAACCUUUUCCUACUAGAUUUUAUGGUGUAUACGUUCCCAUCCAUAUGAAUCUAUCAUUUUCAACCUACAAUCACAAUACAAGGUUUAGGAAAAAAUGAAAUUCAAAUUUAGCUUUCCUUCAUGAACUGAAUUUUGUAAUUCCAAAUUUCUUGCCAUCUGGUAGCACAAAGGCCUACUAGUGCUUCUGUGUUGUAAGCAGCUCACCCAUACUGAUCAAUGUAUUUUCACUGACCAACGCACUAUGCUUUUAUAGUUAAAUGAAAAACAUAUAACUCAUAAGAAUUUCCAACUAAACUUGAAGUGCACAAAAAUAAGAAUGUGUUAAUCAAACACGACUAGUCAUCAACCUCAGGUCGUGUGCUAGUGAUAACUAAAAGGCUUAUUGUCGAUUGACUCCUGAAAUUCUAAAGAUCAAUAAGACUCCCACUGACUUCUUGACAUAAGAGUUUUUUUCUCAAGGUAAAUUCCUUGACGAGCUAAAACAAAUAUUCAAAAGUUCAUGUGGAUUCCUGACAGGAAAACACUUCAUAGAAUUGGUCUUAGUUUAUCUUUUGUUUUAACGAAAACAUUACAACUCCAAUUCAAAAUAUGCUAGAGUAAGAAAGCAUUAUCACUCCAAAUUUCACGAGGUGUUAUAAACCUUUUUAGUUUGAAAUGAGUUUCAAGAUACAAUUUUUAGUAACUAGAGCAUGGCUCUAAAACUUGAUUGGAAACGAAAUAUGACUCACCUCUUGAUUGAACCAUUCCAACAAUAUUUAAUUUGUCUUCUUAGUCAUACAAUUGUACUAAUAUGUUCUUCGAGGAUCAAGUAUGAUAUAGUUCCACGAUCAUUAAGAUGAUCACAAAACAUGAUACUAAAGUACUAUCCUUUCCUUUCAGAUUGGAGAGUCUUUUAUCUUUCUACCUAAUUGAUUCUUCUUAUUCAUUCUUCCACUCUUUGAAUCUUUUCAAAGUAUUAGAAUUAUGUUUAAUCUUAUAAACACAACCAUAUUUGAUGAAACAUCAGAAAAUCAUGACGAAUAGAGUUAUCAUCCUUUUUGGUGGAUCUAAAUAGUCCAUAUCAACAUGUACUAGAUCCAUUAGUCCUUCACUUGACUCACAUCUUACAACGCAUAAAAUAAAAACUAUGUUUCUAGAUAUCUCAUAAGACUAAUAACAAUCUAUUAAAUUAUCCUAACUCCUAAAUAGUAGCUCCAAAUUAUGAUCGUCGAACUAUGUGAAGUCCAACUCACUCUACAUAAGCUUCCUUAUUUCUUUUAGAUCCUGCAAUAACAUCAAAAUGUGAUCAUCACAUCGCGUAUAAAGAGGCUAUGAAUAGGGCCUUGUUAAAAUAAUGGAGUUAGAUAAUUGAUGUACCUGAAGUAGAGUCACACAACUUGACUUCACUAUCUUUGAGAUCUUUCAGGUACUUUGGGAAACUUCACAACCAAUGUCCCUUCAAAUGAAAAUAGAAACAUAUGGACUCUUUGGGGUUAACUGAUGGAACUAUCUCAGAACUAGUUUUUCUCUUUACCAUACGAUCAAAUUGUUUGACUUUGGUUGAACCCUUUCCAUUAGGAAGAGAAAUAUGUUCUGGACCACCAUUGUCAUCAUUGUUAAUUUCCAUGGAAACUUUGGAAUCAGACCCUUUAAGCACCUCUGCUUCAAAUGUGCUCUUAAGCAUUUCUACUUUAGCAAAAAUCAACAUUUGGGUCAAAUCAGUUAGGGUCACGUCGAUCUUCAACAUAUGAAUGUUCUCAAUGAAUUGGUCGUAUGACUUUAGAAACGAAAGAAGAACCAAAUCAAUGGCUUGCUCCCUUGGGAAAACGACACCCAUUCUAUCCAACUUGUCAAUGUACGACUUCGUUUUCAGAACAUGCGCACACACAUAAUUUUCAUCUUGAUGUUUACAUCCCAAUAGUGCUUAAUUAGUUUUUUUAUCUUUUAACUCAAGAAAAAUGCGAUGUUAGGAGAGUCACCGGAGGAGGUGGUGGAAGAGUUGAAAAAGCAUGAUGUCCAGUUUCACCGUUUCCCGAAGAUGAGAAAACAUUUUCACCUUGAUUAGAAUGUGGAAGAUCAUCUUCUAAAGGAAGAGGAAAACCAUUUCCAAAAGAACGAGGAAGACCAUUUCUAUCUUCAUAAGACAUCUAAAAUUAGGAGAAAGGAGAAUUCUAGUUAGUUGAUUUUAGUCCCUAAUUAUUAACCCAUAAAUUUAAAUUAAGGCUAGGAUCCACAUUUUCGAUUUGAACUUUGAAGAAGGAUGCCAUAAUCAAAUUCGAAUCUAUUUUAGGUAGGUAAGAAUUUUACCAAUUCUAGUCUUAUGAAACUCCUAGAUCUUUUGAGAUUCAUUGAUUCUUAUCAAUGACAUGUUUAAUCUCAGAUUGUGUUCUUACUUUUGUGACUGGGAUGUUGAGGAUCACAAACGAGAUGUGAUUAACUAUGCAAACCCACUUGACAACCUUAUUGGCAUUUACCAUCUUACAUUGAUGUGCCGGUUAACCUCACACGCACCAUCAAAUUUGAUAAUUUUCAAGAUGUCCAUCAUAUCUAUUUAUAGUCCCUAUUAACGUGUCAGUUAACUACACACGCUCCACUAACGACAUAUAAAGCAUGCUGUACGUUUUUCAUGGAUUAGCAUACCUUUCAUAUUUUUCCUAAAGUAACUAAGAGUGAGAUUUUAUAAAAGGUUUAGUUAAUUAUAUAGCAUUAUACUUAUUAAUGAGAUUAUGUCCUAUCAAAUCCGUUUGACUAACGACCAUCCACCAUACAAGAGAGCGGCGGGUAAGAAUGGAUACCGAAUGACGGUCAUUUUAUAGGUCGAUUCCUUAAAAUCUCCUUAUAAUAUGACAUCGUGAAUAAGGCGUACUAGCGAUUUGACUAACUUAUUCUUAUACACACACAUGCACACACACACACACACACACACACACACACAUAUAUAUAUAUAUAUAUAUAUAUAACAAUUAAUCAUAUUUAUAGUAUAAGGUGUAUUUUAUACAUUUUAGAACACUAGGUAUUCGACAUUAUUUAUUAAAAUUAAUUAAUAUCUAAAUUAAUCAUUUACACAUUUAAAAAAUUUAUGAUAUUAAUAAUUAAAAUAAUUAAUCAAGUCAAAGAUUUAUCUCCUAAUUUUUAGGCUAUUAUUUAAUUAUCAAAUAUGUAGGCAAAUUCAGAUGUGGCAGAUAUAAAACAAAUAAUUACCAAAUAAUAAGCAUGCAAAACAGAUUAGGCAGAUAAACUCAAAAAAUCAAAAUUUUCAAAUCUCACGUCGUAAGCAUCAAUUCCCACAUCGUGAGAUGCAAAAAACCAAAAAAUUUGUUUGUUCAAUUCACUAAUGUGCAAUUAAAUGAAAGAUAGCCAUAGGCUCUGAUACCACUGAUGGAAAACAUAGGUUACAGCAACAUUGCAUUAAACGGAAAAACAUUUAAUAGUUAAAUGAUUAUGGCACAUGUAACCUAAAGGGAUCUAUGUCUUUCACAUAUAGACAACAUACUAUGAAUUAUCAAUCUAAAAAAUUCUAAUGAAAUCAAAAUUCGUAAAGGAAGAUUACAUACCUUUUAAUUUGUUAUAGUAAACAAAUGUAAACCAUUCUUCAAAGCUUUUCGAAGCAAGCACCAUAAAUCUCGUGCCUCUGAUGGUUCACACCCAAUCCUAGUAACUAUGAGACUUGAAGAGAUAAGAGAAGGAUGAUAGAAUUUUCGGCUAUCUCCAGUGAAAUAGGAGUGGCCAAAAAUCCAACCAAGGGUGCCUUUUAUAGUGCAACUUGGAAACCCUAGAUAACCCUUAAAUGAAUAAAAUAAUAUUAAUUCAAAUUGGUAAUUAGCCAACUUCUUAUUUAUCUGCAAGGAAUAUUCCAAAUGCCCUGGAAUACCCUAAAACUGUCCACCCCUUCCAAUGAAGAUUCUUGAACCUCUCUUGUUCAACUUUUGAACAAUUGUACUUUAACCCUUACACUUUUAAUUAGUCCAAUUAAUCCUAAAUUUAACUCUAAUUAAUUCUUAGUUAAAUAUUAUUAUUUCUAAUUAAUAUUUUAUUUUCAUAACAUAUUAAUAAAUUCAUUUAUUUCUAUUUAUUAAUAAUAUAAUAAAUCAAUAAAUCAAUCUCUCUCUCUAAAAGUUAUCAUAUUUAGUUACUAGGUUUGAGGGCAACCCAAAACAACUUUGCAAAUAAUUCAAGUAUAUACUAAUUCAGUUAUUUGCUUAGACACCUAAUCCAACAGAAACAAUAUAAUAGAGUUCUUCAGAACUAACUUAGAUAUAAUUUGUGAGGGAUUAAGAGUAAUGAAUCCUUGUGGGAUUUAAUAUAAUUAAAAUUUUUAAGGAUCAAAGAGGGAUCAAAGGAAAAGAGAUUAAGUCUGGAUGAGUGCACUCGGUAAUGAUAGGGGAUGUCAUUCCCCCAUAUGAUAAAUGAAGUUAUCAUAUGAGAUUGAACCGUUGGGUCUGAUAAGAAUAAAAUGCUAAGGUAUGAGAUGUUGAGAACAGAGAUGUAAGUGUAACAAGAGUAAGAAAAUGCAUGCUAAGUGUAAGAAUAUGAGAAAAGCAUGCAUAAAGUAUGAUAGGAACAAAUAGAUGAGAUAAUAUUAGAGUAAGGGACAAGAAAAAAGAUGAUGUGAGAAGAACAUAGGAGAGAUAAAUGUGGAGAAUAAUAAAGCAAGAGAAGGAUGGGGUUUAUAAUUUUAUUUUAAACCUGAAGAGAAAAUAAUGAUAGAAUAUGUAAAGAGAGAAAAAUAAAGAAGAAGAAUAUGAUUACAUGAAAACAGAUAGAAUAUAAAUCACCAGCCUUGUGAUCUGAUGUUGUAGAUAUUUUACAUGAUUUGCAUGUUCAGGUGUUAGCCGUUAUACGAGAGGAUGUAGAAGCAUAGGAACGCGAAAUAGAAGUGGAUUAUUAUUUUAGUUAUAUUUACUCGUUGCUUAAAUUUAUGUUUAUAAUUUUAUUUUAAACCUGAAUAUUUCAUGAGGUUUAAAGUAUAUAACAAAUUAGAAUUCCGAAUUUGUUUACUAAAUUCUGAUAAUCCCUAGGAUGUCUAGUGAGAAAAUUACGGAUUGUUACAGGAUAUCGGAAGGGAUGUUUGUUGCCUACCAUCGAACAGACUUGUGCAUCUGCCUGUGAAGCAUUGUCUCUCUAUUUGGGGUGAGUAUGCUAGUCAACCUCCCUAAAAAAUGGACAUUAUAACUUAUGGUAUUUUUACAAGUAAAUAAUAAUUCAAGAUUAUAUAGUAUUUUACCUCAAAUGAGAUUGCAUUGAACAAAAAUACAUUGAAUGUACUCACAAAUUACCUCAAUAACCGUUAUUAUAGGUACAUUGCGUUCAUUAACCGAUAACAGCAGGUGGAAUUCCGGAAUAUCAAUGUUGAGUAUCUUGCAACAGAUGUUAGGGAAAUAAGGUAUUCCCUAUUUCGCAUUACCAAUAUUGGGAAGUGUUAGUUUAUAGUAUGAUUUCAUAUUUUGAAUACUAUAGGGAGUUUAUGUAACAUUAUUGUGUGUGUGUAUACAUAUAUAUAUAUAUAUAUAUAUAUAUAUAUAUAUAUAUGUGUGUGUGUGUGUGUGUGUGUGUGUGUGUAUACAUGCAAUACAAUACCCUAAUCAAUACGGAUUUUUACCACAUUUAAGAUUUCUUUUAGUCUCUUUAAUGCGUUCCUUCUCAGUAUUUGUGCUUGUGAGUUCUUUUUUCGUAGCUGGUCCUCCUUGCUCGAUUAACUUGCAUGUUACACACGAUCAACCACUGUGAUUGACUCCCUCGAUCGUUUUGAUUUCUUUUCCUUUUCCUAGUUGUGUUAAUUCUUGUCUAACAUGUCUACUACACCCAACUUGUCAUCUACCAUCGUUCCAUCCACACUGAGUCUGGUUUGUUUUCUUACUAAUGUCUACAACCAAUUUAGUUUCAAACUAAAUGAUGAUGGUUCUCGAUACAAAUUUUGGCGUCAAAUUUUUUUAGACAUGUGUUGAGGAACGAUGAGUUAUGAUCAUAUAUCAAGUAAGUCAACCCUGAUCAGUGAUGAUGAUGAAUGGUAUUUCGUUGAUGUGCGUAUAAAGUCUUAGUUUUAUAUCACUUGUGAUGUUAAUACGUAGAGUCCUAGUAGUAUGAUAGUUUCUGGUGGUCUUCUUUCCUAAUUCACAAACAAGAUGACAUGUUGAAAAUAUAGAGAAAUGAUAGGCUAGAAAGUGAUACCGAGGGAUGGACCCCGAUAUUGCUCUUUGAUGCCUAAAUUGUAACACCCACGUAUUCGGGCUAGAUGAUUAAGAUAUAAAAAAUGAUAAAAAUGAUUUUUAGAGAAUAUUAUUUAGGAUAAUUAAUAUUAACCAAAGCUAUAGUAUAUGUGACAAGGAUUAUGUACAUGUAAAGAACUCUGAAAUCCAACUUAGUAUGAAGAAGUUAUCAUUCUUCGAAGUUUCAAAAUCAAACCGAUACGAAACUGCGUAUCAUAUAAAGAGAAAUUGUGAUUAAUUACUUUUUAGCUCAAGUGAACUAAACAGAAGUCGUAGUAGGCGUAAAACCAAUAACAUGCAUAUAGAGAAUGUCCAAAUAUGAAUUCGUGAGAGGAGGUUAUGAUUUUUCAAAGUUUCAACGCAUGUGUUUUAGCACAGAAAUCAAAUUUUAGAUCUGUUGAUUUUUAGCUGAAGAAAUCCAAACGUGAAUUGAUGAUCUCGUGAUAAGGAGUCCAUCAAUAUAAAGAUAGUCAAAAACGGAGUUUGUAUGUAAAAGUUAUGAAUUUUACACGGUCGUUAAUAGUGUAAUCUUCAUAGACUGUUAAACAUAAGAUCGGAUGAGCAUUAGCCGACUGGAUCUAAAUGAAAGUUGUAGUACUCAGAAAUACCUAUGCAUGGAUCUAGAGAAUGUCGAAGAUAGAGUUUGUAUGGAUGAGAUAUGAAUUUUUGAAGUUUCUAGUCGUGCCUACCCCCUGCCACACUACUCCAGCCAAAAUCAAACACAUGUAAGCAUCUAAGAGGUCCGACCAGGCUAGAGUACGACAUGCAUCUGGUCUAGGCGCGAUGCGUUCUCAUAUUUUUAUGCUAAAUAGAGCUUCAUCCCUUCAUUCGAUCUCGACAUCUCCUCAGCUCAUUCUCUUGAGUUUUCUCGGUUUUUGUAAAAAAUUCCUUUUGUUUUUAAUAUUUUGGCAAAGCGAUGAGGUCCCUGAGAGCCUGACAUCUAGUAGGUAGCAGGGCGGAGUUCUGCCAGUGUAGUUUUCAGACUUUUGUCUAGGAAAUCUUUGUAAGUUAAAUUACACUCAACUUUAUCUUAGUGUAUUUUAUAUUUAUAUUCACAAUCGUUAUUAUGAAUCUAUAAAUAAUAUUUAUUAGUGAUUCCAAACCGUUAUACUGACCGAUCUACUUAUGGGGAUGAUGUCUAGGUUGGAUUUAGUGAGGUGUUUAAAGUGAGAUUUCCAAACAGUAUACUCUGUAUACCAAAAAAACCCUACCUCCGAUAUGAUCCUACCUGGUUGUUCCUUACUUGAUAGAUAUUGAUGUAGACAUUAGGAUUAGUGAGAAAUCUAUACUAUCAUUAUUCGCCAGGAAUGUAACAGUAAGACUUGGUAAUAUGAAUCUAGGUCGCGUCAGAGGAAAAGCUAAAGUACCAAGGAGAAGUUCUACCUAAAUUCUGAGGCAUCCACGUUUAUCAAGUGAGUGGAUAGUUAUUUUCAUCUUACACAUAGAUAUGAAGUAUAUAGAUAAUUAAGUGCUAUAUGUGGUUAUGUACAAAGAUGUUAUGUGUUAGAUGAAAUAUUAUAAAGAUAGAUUUUAUAUGAUAUAAAUCAUAUAUGUAUAAAUAUAAUGCAUGGGGUAACGAAGGGUAAUGAAAGAUGCCAUAGUAUGAUGAAAGGUAAGAUUCAAUAGUAUGAUGUAAGAUGUAGCAACGAUAUGAUGCCAUGACUUUAGAAAUGGUACUAGUUUACUAACGAUGUAGUCAUCUAACAUAAUAUAGGUGACGACUAUCGGAUUAUUUAAUAAUGGUCCCAUGGAACACAGACAAGUUUAUAACCUAUAGGUGAUGCACUUUGUACCCAUGUGAUGUACUCUUUACUACCAACUGACAUGUAUUGCGAAGAAAUCCAUGUAACAAUAUUGUCAGCAACGAUGACUAUGAUGAAGGACCCUUAGGAUAGAUUCUUAAGGAAGAAUAAAGAAGAAAAUAGGGAUUAGUAGUCAUGUUAAUUGCUUGAUAACCAAGAAUAUUAAGUACAUUCAUGUGAGUUGAAAAUCCUAUGUACUCACCUGGUUUCCCAACCUGAACCACUCAACUUCUUUGUAUCACAGAUAGCAGUACAAAGGUACGCUAAUUAUGAGAGAUUCGAGCAGAUGUAGACUGAUAGUCUAAGAUAUUGUAAGGCCUAUUUAUGAUUAUGUUUUGUAUCAUUUAUGACAUCCGAAGCUUUUGUAAAUCAAUGAAAAAAAUUCUUUGGAAAUACUUUACAGGACCGAAUUCUGCAUUUAUAAAUAAACUAUGUUUUAAAUAAGCAUAAAUAAAAGUUUAAAAAUGUUCGUAAAAAUGGUAUGUCACAAUUGGUAUCAGAGCAUUAGUUUAAGUGAACAACGAAUUUUAGAGGAUUUAUACAAUUAAAUGUAGAAACUAAGCGAUGAUCGUGAGAUGUGUGACUAUUAUAUUUUUGGUAAUACACUUGAGUUAACAUAAGCACUAGCUUACCUUAGGAUAAAAUGCAUAAUUUUCUUUUAUAUGCUAAAUGGUUUGUAUUAUAGCAUGCCUUAGGUUGCCUAUCUAAAUUGCUAUUAUUAGGUUUAAGGUCUGUUGACGACCUAGAAAUAGGAAAUUUUGUGUAUGCGGGUUUCUAAAUGUUUAAUUACGGUAUUAGAACUGACAUAUAACUUUUCAGAGUGAUAAGGAGAACUAUGCGUUUGUCACACCCCAAAACCAAGAACGGCGGAAACGUUCAGGGGUGGAGGACGUCAUGUGAAGUAUCAUACAAUGUAAAGUAGUAAACAAGGAACAACAUCAUCCAUUGCAUUAAAAUUAAAGUUUUAAUACAUGUGUGUUCUUUCAUCGUAAUAAGACACCAAAAUAUGUAAUCAAAAUAAAAGACGAGUCUUGUCUGUGCUUCGUCUUCUCAAAACUUGGUCAUUGUACCUGUCUACUGGUGACCUGAGAAUACAAGUUAUUUUGAAAGAGUAGAUCAGCAUAAAGCUGGUGACUUCAUAAGUAUUUAAGUGUCAUUACUCUGUUUUGGAAAGCUGUUAUGAAUGUCAUGUAAAUAUUUCGAUGCAACAAUUGAUAUAAGUGUGAAAACCCUAGAAAAUCCCAUAUUUCCUACUACUAUUAAGAAUAUAUAGUCUACCUCAUUGUUUAUGUGAACGUAUCACAAAAUAAAAGUAAUAGGGAAAAUAUAGCCAUAUAAGUAUUAUCGUUUUGUAUUACGAUAAACACGACAUUGUGACUACCGAAAAGUAUUAACCUUGAACCUCCAUAGAUGUUCAUUUUCCUCUGUAGCUAACAGCAGGUCGAAGGAAUGGUUAGUCCCGUAAAGGUACCCCUAGUAUAAGUAUUAACCAUAGGCAUCCGUAGAUGUUCAUUACCUCUUUUGCUAACAGGUGGGUGCCGGAAUGGUUAGUCCCGUAUAGUAUCCUUUUGUACUAGGAUAGACAGAGCUAAUCUACACGUAUAGUAUGUAAUAGUAUCUCAUCAUAUAGUAUCUAAGUACGAGUAUCCAUGUAAUAGGAUCCAGGUAGGUGUAUCUCUUCAUAUAGCAUUUAUUAUAGACUCAUGAAUGAACUGACUCUGGUGUGAUUCCUUGUAAUAGGAGUAAUGUUUUGUAUCCCCUAAACUAUCCCCAUAAUAGUUUACUGGAAUGUAUUUGUGGUCCAAGAAGGUUUAUACACCCUUGCUACUCAAGUGUGUAGGAACUGAAUGAAGAAUGAAAGCUGUCAUAUCAAUAUAUAUAUAUAUAUAUAUAUAUAUGAACAUAAGUGUAUAGAUAUUGUUUUGAUCAAGAACAUGAAAGAGGUUUUGUAAAACAUUUAAGAGUUUUGAACAAUAAAUAACAAUGACUUGAUGUCAUUUUAUAAAACAUUUCAAAAGUAAUUCAUUUGAUAACAAAGUAUUUUAAGAUAGAAAACCAUUUCAUGUAUCACAUUUUGAAGUAUGUGAAAUCAGUUGGUUGAAAACACAGUUAUAAAUCACAUGCGAUUGAAUCUAUAACAUGUUGUUUUCUACUUGUAUCCCCCCCACCAUUAAAGCAUUUAAAAUCAUUUAAAACAUUGAUUAAGGGGUAUGAACUCACCUGUAGAUGGUGGUUUAGAUGAACUGAACGAUGUAGGAGUGCUAAGUGUCAAGUGAAGACUUGUACACACUCAAAGAUCCUAGUUAACAUAUAAUCACAAAUAUAUGUAUCCAAUUAGUCUUUAAACUACUAAUUGACAAUGUAAGACAUCCUAGGACAUGCUAAAGACCUUAUAUAAGUGUUAUAAGUCCCAAGGAUUGCAUCUAAGUUGUUGUAGGACAAAGUUAUUGGGUUUAGGGUUCCAAAGGACCCCUUUCUUGAGUUUACUCCCCAAGGACCAUAACCCAAUGAGUUUACGGUCGUAAACCCUUGAGUUUACGGCCGUAAUCUCCAAAGCUUUUGAUCAUUUGAUGGUUUGAAGCCUUACAUGUCCCUUAGAAGUAUUUCUACUUGAUGGUUUAGUCCUUGGAAGAGAUUANUUAGGGCACCCCCUCCUUUGAGGAGUUCACGGCCCUAAGACCAAUUCCCUUUGUGUUUGCGGAUGUAAUCUCAUAUGGACCAUGGUAUUUUUGUGCUAUCAAGUCCCAUACACAUUAAGGUAUGAGUCUAGGCUAGUUUCACAAGGAAAGGAAGGGACUAGGGCACAAUUUUGGCCCUUAAAUAAGGGUUUACGGUCCAAGGUGUUCUUGGGCCGUAAACUCUUUGAACUUGUUGAUUCCUUAUGAUUUCUUGAUGUAUAGACAUAUAACAAGCCCUAUUAUACUCUAAGAUAGAAGCACUUACAAUUUGGGACGAAAGACUGAAGAUCCUUGAGAGAGAAUCAGGUUUUUCUCUAGUUGAAAAUGGAACAAAUGAAUAAAAAUGGCUAAGGGCCAUAUAUAUACCCCAUGGGGUUUACGACCGCAAACUCCAUGUUUGGGUCGUAAAUUCCAAUUUCUUGGAUUAUGAAAUGUUAUUGUUGCACAAUAAACCCUAGGGCAUCCCCUCUCCUGGCAUCUCCUAAAGUGUUAAUCAUAGAAUACUCAAACUUAUCCCAAAUAGUCUGAAAAUUAACAGUAACUGUUCUGACUUCUAUUGACUUGGUAUGUUGUAUAGAAUGGAAAUUUCGAGUUGUCACAUCAUCCCCCCGUUAGAAGGAAUUUCGUCCCGAAUUUAGAAUUUAAGCAAAUAAGUAGUUAUAAAUAACUGAGCAAAAAGAUGAGGAUAUUUCAGUUUCAUCUGAUCCUCUCGCUCCCAAGUGAACUCCGGUCCUCGCUUGGCGUUCCAGCGAAACUUCACUAUCGGGAUGCGGCUUUGCUUCGUUUGCUUGACCUCUCUGUCCAUGAUCUCUACUGGUUCUUCCACGAAGUUGAGGCUCUCGUUGAUCUCGAUCUCGUUGAGUGGGAUUACAAGUUCGAGACGUGGAAGGUAGAAUGUACGUUACUAAGUUCGCGCGGUAGAUUGAGUUUGUAAGCUACGGGGCCGAUUUGGGCAAGAAUCUAGAAAGGCCCUAUGUAUCUUGGAUUGAGCUUCGUACGCUUUACGAAGCGUAUCAAGCCCUUCCAGGGUGAGACCUUCCGUAGAACACGGUCGCCCACCUGGAAUUCCAAUGGUUUCCUUCGCUUGUCAGCGUAGCUUUUAUGUCGGUCUCUAGAGGCUUUCAAUCAUUCACGAAUUUGAACGAUCUUCUCUGUCGUUUCCUGAAUGAUCUCCAAACCCGUGAGAGUGCUUUCGGGAACUCGUCCCUUAGCUAACUUGGUAUCACCCACCUCAGCCCAGCACAGAGGGGAUCUGCACUUUUGGCCAUAGAGGGCUUCAAAAGGAGCUGCCUUUAUGCUCGUGGGAUAACUGUUGUUGUAGGAAAAUUCGACAAGGGGUAAAUGAGUAUCCCAAGCUUUCCCAAAGUCAAUCACACGGGCUCGCAAAAUAUCUUCUAAGGUUUGGAUAGUUCUCUCACUUUGUCUGUCGGUUAGUGGAUGGUAGGCUGUACUCAUGUCCAUCCUAGUUCCUAGGGAACAUUGUAGCGGCUGCAUGAACCUAGAAGUGAAUCUACUAUCUCUAUCUGAGAUAAUGGAUAUGGGAACACCGUGUAGUCGUACAAUCUCCCUAAUGUAGGUUCUCGUAAGUUUCUGCAUUUUUUCAGUUUCUUUGAUGGGUAGGAAGUGUGCAGACUUGGUCAAUCUGUCGACGAUGACCCAUAUGGUAUCAAGUCCACCCGUUGCCUUGAGAAAAUUGGUUAUGAAGUCCAUAGUGAUCCGCUCCCACUUCCAUUCUGGUAUCUCUGGUUGCUGCAGAAGACCGGAGGGUUUCUGGUAUUCGACCUUUACCUUCGCGCAAGUAAGGCAUNGUAUAAGGCUUCGCCACCCUUGACUUC